UACAGAGGGUGCGAGCGUUAAUCGGAAUUACUGGGCGUAAAGCGCACGUAGGCGGCUUGGUAUGUCGGGUGUGAAAUCCCCGGGCUCAACCUGGGAAUGGCAUUUGGGACUGCAAGGCUCGAGUGCGGCAGAGGAGACUGGAAUUCCUGGUGUAGCAGUGAAAUGCGUAGAUAUCAGGAGGAACACCGAUGGCGAAGGCAGGUCUCUGGGCUGACACUGACGCUCAUGCACGAAAGCGUGGGGAGCAAACAGG
rnacentral:rRNA from 1 species